GACGAACGCUGGCGGCGUGCUUAACACAUGCAAGUCGAACGGAAAGGCCCUGCUUGCAGGGUGCUCGAGUGGCGAACGGGUGAGUAACACGUGGGUGAUCUGCCCCUUACUUUGGGAUAAGCCUGGGAAACUGGGUCUAAUACUGGAUAGGACCAUGCUGUAGGUGGUGUGGUGGAAGGAUUUUUUCGGUAAGGGAUGAGCUCGCGGCCUAUCAGCUUGUUGGUGGGGUAAUGGCCUACCAAGGCGUCGACGGGUAGCCGGCCUGAGAGGGUGGACGGCCACAUUGGGACUGAGAUACGGCCCAGACUCCUACGGGAGGCAGCAGUGGGGAAUAUUGCACAAUGGGCGCAAGCCUGAUGCAGCGACGCCGCGUGGGGGAUGACGGCCUUCGGGUUGUAAACUCCUUUCAGCCAUGACGAAGCCUCUUUUGGGGUGACGGUAGUGGUAGAAGAAGCACCGGCUAACUACGUGCCAGCAGCCGCGGUAAUACGUAGGGUGCGAGCGUUGUCCGGAAUUACUGGGCGUAAAGAGCUCGUAGGUGGUCUGUCGCGUCAUUUGUGAAAGCCCGGGGCUUAACUCCGGGUUGGCAGGUGAUACGGGCAUGACUGGAGUACUGUAGGGGAGACUGGAAUUCCUGGUGUAGCGGUGAAAUGCGCAGAUAUCAGGAGGAACACCGGUGGCGAAGGCGGGUCUCUGGGCAGUAACUGACGCUGAGGAGCGAAAGCAUGGGUAGCGAACAGG
rnacentral:rRNA from 1 species